GAUAAAGAAAAAUCCUAAAGUUUAAGGCUCUCAUUAAACAAUAUUACUACAUGAGAAUAAACCAUAUUUAAUCCAUACCACAUUCAGUAAGCAAAGUAGCUUCUGUCACCAAAUCACAACAUAUAUUUUCACACUACAUAAGAGCAGUUAAAUUGAAGUCCAUGGAGUAGUAACUAUAUGUUGCUUCCACGAACAUUUGGUCCUUCAUUGCCAAGAGACAACCCUGAUGAGAGAUUGAAUUGCUCCCUCGCCACGAAAACAGGAUUUGGUUGCUCGUAUCGUGAGCUCAAGCUCGACUCUAAUAUCUGGUGCGGCAGUAGCAUAUCUGCUUUUGUAAAUGUGCCCACUCUUUGUUUCUUUGAUGACCUUUCACCUUCAGAGCUAUUUAUUGGUGAAGUCUCGCGGCAACCAGAAUCAGGAGUAAGAGGCUCAUGUUGCGAGGAGAAUGAUUGAUCAAUAGAAAGGCUCUUGCUACGGCCAUGCUCUUGUACAGACGUAUCAAUAUGAGGAGACUCAGAUGUUGGUGCAGGAGUCCCUGGAUCAGUCCGGUUAUCGGAAUCUAGACCAUUGUCACCUGCUGCUGAAGGAGUCACCCCAGAAUCAGGAACUUCUGAGAGAACUCCAC
rnacentral:misc_RNA from 1 species